rnacentral:misc_RNA from 1 species
AACACCUCAAAAGAUUUUCUUUAUUGAAAUGAUUUUGGACUUGAGCAAUCCCAACACCAAUCUUUACGGAUCGGCGGAGGGUUGCUUGAAAUGCAGGUGCAGCUGGACAUUCUCCUGAGCUAAAAGCAUAUCUAUUUAGUCCCGUCAAACGGAUUAUUACUUUUGCUGCAGCUAACAUAAAGGGAGUUUGACCAUUUUGGCUGACUGAUGCAGGAUUUCACAAGGGUCGGUAAAACGAUUUUUGUAAA